rnacentral:siRNA from 1 species
AACCAAACGAGUGCAAAUGGGUCU